rnacentral:rRNA from 1 species
GGUCUGGGAUGGGCUCGCGGCCUAUCAGCUUGUUGGUGGGGUGAUGGCCUACCAAGGCGACGACGGGUAGCCGGCCUGAGAGGGCGACCGGCCACACUGGGACUGAGACACGGCCCAGACUCCUACGGGAGGCAGCAGUGGGGAAUAUUGCACAAUGGGCGCAAGCCUGAUGCAGCGACGCCGCGUGAGGGAUGACGGCCUUCGGGUUGUAAACCUCUUUCAGCAGGGACGAAGCGCAAGUGACGGUACCUGCAGAAGAAGCGCCGGCCAACUACGUGCCAGCA